rnacentral:SRP_RNA from 1 species
GCCGGGCAUGGUAGCGCAUGCCUGUAAUCUCAGCUACUCGGGAGGCUGAGGCAGGAGAAUCGCUUGAACCCAGGAGGUGGAGGUUGCAGAGAGCCAGGAUUGCACCACUGCACUCCAGCCUGGGCGACAGAGUGAGACUCUGUCUCAA